rnacentral:rRNA from 1 species
GCAUAUCAAUAAGCGGAGGAAAAAGAAACCAACAGGGAUUGCCCUUAGUAACGGCGAAGUGAAGCGGCAACAGCUCAAAUUUGAAAUCUGGCCUCUUUUGGGGUCCGAGUUGUAAUUUGCAGAGGGCGCUUUGGCGUUGGCAGCGGUCCAAGUUCCUUGGAACAGGACGUCACAGAGGGUGAGAAUCCCGUACGUGGUCGCUGGCCUUCGCCGUGUAAAGCCCCUUCGACGAGUCGAGUUGUUUGGGAAUGCAGCUCUAAAUGGGAGGUAAAUUUCUUCUAAAGCUAAAUACUGGCCAGAGACCGAUAGCGCACAAGUAGAGUGAUCGAAAGAUGAAAAGCACUUUGGAAAGAGAGUCAAACAGCACGUGAAAUUGUUGAAAGGGAAGCGCUUGCAGCCAGACUUGCCUGUAGUUGCUCAUCCGGGCUUUUGCCCGGUGCACUCUUCUAUAGGCAGGCCAGCAUCAGUUUGGGCGGUUAGAUAAAGGUCUCUGUCAUGUACCUCUCUUCGGGGAGAACUUAUAGGGGAGACGACAUGUAACCAGCCCAGAUUGAGGUCCGCGCAUUUGCUAGGAUGCUGGCGUAAUGGCUGUAAGCGGCCCGUCUUGAAACACGGACCAAGGAGUCUAACAUCUAUGCGAGUGUUUGGGUGUCAAGCCCGAGCGCGCAAUGAAAGUGAACGGAGGUGGGAACCCCUCGGGGUGCACCAUCGACCGAUCCUGAUGUCUUCGGAUGGAUUUGAGUAAGAGCAUAGCUGUUGGGACCCGAAAGAUGGUGAACUAUGCUUGAAUAGGGUGAAGCCAGAGGAAACUCUGGUGGAGGCUCGCAGCGGUUCUGACGUGCAAAUCGAUCGUCAAAUUUGGGCAUAGGGGCGAAAGACUAAUCGAACUAUCUAGUAGCUGGUUUCCUGCCGAAG